UGGAUCCACACUUUGAUUCUGGCUCAGGAUGAACGCUGGCGGCGUGCCUAACACAUGCAAGUCGAACGGAGUUAUUACGACAGAACUCUUCGGAGGGAAGAUGUAAUAACUUAGUGGCGGACGGGUGAGUAACACGUGAGCAACCUGCCUUUCAGAGGGGGAUAACGGCUGGAAACGGUCGCUAAUACCGCAUAACAUAUUUGAGCGGCAUCGCUUAAAUAUCAAAGGAGCAAUCCGCUGAAAGAUGGGCUCGCGUCUGAUUAGAUAGUUGGUGAGGUAACGGCUCACCAAGUCGACGAUCAGUAGCCGGACUGAGAGGUUGAACGGCCACAUUGGGACUGAGAUACGGCCCAGACUCCUACGGGAGGCAGCAGUGGGGAAUAUUGCACAAUGGGGGAAACCCUGAUGCAGCAACGCCGCGUGAAGGAAGACGGUUUUCGGAUUGUAAACUUCUUUUCUUGAUGAAGAAAGAAAUGACGGUAGUCAAGGAAUAAGCAUCGGCUAACUACGUGCCAGCAGCCGCGGUAAUACGUAGGAUGCAAGCGUUAUCCGGAUUUACUGGGUGUAAAGGGAGCGCAGGCGGGACUUCAAGUUGGAUGUGAAAUGCCAAGGCUUAACCAUGGCACUGCAUCCAAAACUGUAGUUCUUGAGUGGAGUAGAGGUAAGCGGAAUUCCGAGUGUAGCGGUGAAAUGCGUAGAUAUUCGGAGGAACACCAGUGGCGAGGGCGGCUUACUGGGCUCUAACUGACGCUGAGGCUCGAAAGUGUGGGGAGCAAACAGGAUUAGAUACCCUGGUAGUCCACACUGUAAACGAUGAUAGCUAGGUGUGGGGGGUCUGACCCCUUCCGUGCCGCAGUUAACGCAAUAAGCUAUCCACCUGGGGAGUACGAUCGCAAGAUUGCAACUCAAAGGAAUUGACGGA
rnacentral:rRNA from 1 species